AUUGAACGCUGGCGGCAGGCCUAACACAUGCAAGUCGAACGAGUGGCGGACGGGUGAGUAAUGUCUGGGAAACUGCCCGAUGGAGGGGGAUCACCACUGGAAACGGUAGCUAAUACCGCAUACCCUCGGAUGUGCCCAGAUGGGAUUAGCGAGUAGGUGGGGUAAUGGCUCACCUAGGCGACGAUCCCUAGCUGGUCUGAGAGGAUGACCAGCCACACUGGAAUGGAACCACGGCCCAGACUCCUACGGGAGGCAGCAGUGGGGAAUAUUGCACAAUGGGCGCAAGCCUGAUGCAGCCAUGCCGCGUGUAUGAAGAAGGCCUUCGGGUUGUAAAGUACUUUCAGCGAGGAGGCGUUACUCACAGAAGAAGCACCGGCUAACUCCGUGCCAGCAGCCGCGGUAAUAC
rnacentral:rRNA from 1 species